GGGCGGCGGAGCGGCGGGAUGCGGCAGUGCCGGGCCGCGGGGCUGGCGGGGCUGGCCACGGUGCGCAGGGCUGGCUGGGUGCUGGCCUGAGUGCGCAGGGCUGCCGCCGGAGGGGCCAGACUGCGGUGGCUGAUGGGACCGGAACCGCGAACGCCUCUGUUUUUUUGGCUUCUUUCCCAGCUCAUGCACCUCUCUGCUCCUUUAUGAAAUUUCUGUGGGAGAGAAUGGAUAUUCUCAGUUUGCUUCUUGUUUUCUUCUCGGCAGUGGCUGUGAGCAGAGCCCAGGUGCAGCAGGAGACGGCGGCAGAGACCAGCGAGGGCAUCGGCAUCAACAUCACCUGCUCACACCCCAACUUACGAUCCGAGGAGAGCAUCCACUGGUACCGUCAGCUCCCGGGCCGAGGACCCACAUUCAUCGCGAGCGCCGUUAAAGGCUCCAAGGAGGUUCCGGACCUCGAGGGGCGGCUGUGGGUGUCGGCAGACCGCCGCUCCAGUGCCAUCUGGGUCGCGCGGCCCCGGCUCGGGGACGCGGCGGUGUAUUACUGCGCCGUGGGCGCACAGGAAUCGAAGCCGGGGCUGCGGCCGGGCACGAACCACUUAGGGCGGGGCGGGAGCGCAGUGCCGUCCGGGCCCGCAGGGGGCGCUGCCUGCAUGGCCGCCAAACUCCAUCCUGACCAGGGUGCACCUUCCUGA